GAAAAGGGUUAGUCAUUAAUUUCUCUCCUAUUUUAAACUUAUUUUUUAGCUUCAAAUAAUUAUGAAUUUUGAUUAUUUGUUUCAUAUAUUCUUUUGUUUUGAUAAGAGUCAAUUGCAAUCAAUUUGUAAUCCCCAGCUUAAAUGGAUAUGCGUCUAAACCGUCUAAAUUGGAUGUCAAAUCGAUUGCAAUCAAUAGAUUCUGUUUGGUUGGUCGAGUUUAGAAUUGAAUGGUAAAGAACCGAAUUGAAUUUCCUAAUAAAUCAAAUCAAAAUUUCAAAUUAUGGCUGUUUGGUUCAUAAUAGUAAAAAACCCCUAUGCUUGUUAUUUCAUCUAUCUGUAGUUGUGCUUUUCUAGGGGUCUGAACUUCACAGUAAAUUAUCUCAUAAUUGCUUCUUUCUCACCUUCAAAAUGAUAUUUGAAUGUUUAGUGUGACGAAAAAGAGUAACAUGUUCUAUCAAAAUAUGUAAUCAUUUCUUCUUUAUUUAUUUAUUUUUUAAACUUUUUUAGAAAAAUGAUUUUGGAUAAGGUUA
rnacentral:misc_RNA from 1 species